GAUGAACGCUAGCGGCAGGCUUAACACAUGCAAGUCGAGGGGUAACAGGUUUUCGGAUGCUGACGACCGGCGCACGGGUGCGUAACGCGUAUAGAACUUACCUUUUACAGAGGGAUAGCCUUUAGAAAUGAAGAUUAAUACCUCAUAAUAUUGAGGACUGGCAUCAGUUUUUAAUUAAAGAUUUAUCGGUAAAAGAUGGCUAUGCGUCCUAUUAGCUAGAUGGUAAGGUAACGGCUUACUAUGGCUACGAUAGGUAGGGGCCCUGAGAGGGGGAUCCCCCACACUGGUACUGAGACACGGACCAGACUCCUACGGGAGGCAGCAGUGAGGAAUAUUGGGCAAUGGAGGCAACUCUGACCCAGCCAUGCCGCGUGCAGGAAGACUGCCCUAUGGGUUGUAAACUGCUUUUAUACAGGAAGAAAUGCAUCUACGUGUAGGUGUUUGACGGUACUGUAAGAAUAAGCACCGGCUAACUCCG
rnacentral:rRNA from 1 species